rnacentral:tRNA from 1 species
CCGGGCGUAGCGCAGUUUGGUAGCGCAUCUGCUUUGGGAGCAGGGGGCCGCAGGUUCGAAUCCUGUCGCCCGGACCA